CUACUCUGCCUGUCGCAAGGCCCUCCCGGCCCAGGCUUGGGAGAGAGGUGUGCCCUAGACUGCCGUGAGCCCCAAGUGGACCCAGUGCCAGAGUGCCAGAGGGAGCAGCCCUCAGCCCAGACUCCACAGCGCAGCCCAGCCCGUCCCUGCAGCCACGAUCGGGGUCAUGGCACUCAGAGAGGAAAGGAGUCCCUCGUGCCCAGCACUCCCCCGCCCAUCAGCCAUCGUGGCCAUCCUGGGCAUGUGAGCACCACUGCGCCAGCCCAGCCUGGAGCCUGGUACUGCCGGCCUUGGCAGGCAGACAUUGCUGGUCAGGAAUGCAGAAUCCGCCUUUAAAUACCUCAGCAAUUUC
rnacentral:lncRNA from 1 species